rnacentral:lncRNA from 1 species
UAAUUGUUGAGCCAAACACCUAUAUAUACCGUUCAAUAGCACAAUCAGUUCAUCAUCUUCGUUUUCAUCUCCAAUUGUGGGCGUUUUUGCUGAGGUAUUUGUGAUUUCUUUUGAUUUUCUUUUUCUGAUUUUGAAAUGAAUUCUCAUUUUGAAAUGAAAUAUGUGAAUGAGUAGGCUAUGAUGCUCAAAAUCUACCUAUUUGCUGAAAGGAGAUUUUCUCCUUCUGUGAUUAUACAUUUAACCAAUGGAUCCUUCUGAGCCUACUCAUAUUUUUCGAAAUUUUUGUGUUCUUUUAUCGAUUUCUAGUUUUUUUUUUUAAAAAAAGUUGGAUUGUUCUGAACCAUUGAAGUGACGAAAUCCGAUUCAGGAAAGUUUAUAUGUCGACCUAAAAAAUCAUUCAGACUACAAUUAUCUGAUCAAUGGUUUACUUCAUUUUUUUUUCGGUUAAUUUAUAUGUUUUAGAUCUAAGAUUUGAUGAAAUUUUAUUAUUUUUUCUGGAUUUUAUUUAGUUAAAAUAAUGUUCGAAUAUUUUUGUUAAAGUUUGUUGUUUAUGUUAUGAGUCAUUGAAGCGAUGAUAUCCGAUUCAGGAAAGUUUAUGUGUCGACCUAAAAAAUCAUUCAGAUUACAAUUAUCUGAUCAAUGGUUUACUUCAUUUUUUCUAUUUUUUUGGUUAAUUUAUAUGUUUUAGAUCUAAGAUUUGAUGAAAUUUUAUCAUUUUUUCUGGAUUUUAUAUACGUCAAAUAAUGUUGAAUAUUUUUGUUAAAGUUUGUUGUAUAUGUUAUGAAUCAUUGAAGGGAUGAUAUCCGAUUCAGGAAAGUUUAUAUGUCGACCCAAAAAAAUCAUUCAGACUACAAUUAUCUGAUCAAAUGAUUCACUUUUUAAUAACUUUUUUGUUUUAUUGUGAUUUUAUGAAAAUAAAGAUGUUGAUUUUUACUGCAUUUUUGUUCUUUGAUAACUAUCAUGGAUAUCCAACAAAUUUAGAGAAUGAAAAUAUGAAAAAUUUACUGCAAUUUUUUUUUUAAAAAAAUAUAUGAAUAAAUCCAUUAGAGGUUCUUGACUUGUGUGACAAUGACCAAUAAUCAAAUUCAUGUUAGAAUAUUGUUAAUAUUUUUUAAGAAUUUAUUUUUUCAUUAUUUUUAAUGUAUGAAUAUUAGUAAAAAAUUAUUUACAAAUUCAAUAUAAUUAUUAUUUAUGACAGUAAAGUGCAGACAAAUUAGCUAAUUAAUUAUAUUUUUCAAUUCACGUUUGAAAACAUUAUAAAGUCAAAUGCCUAGGCAUUGAUUUUUUUUUUUGAAGUAGCAAUUUUAUAAAAAAAAAUUAUAAUAUUUUUUGAAAUUCAAUAUAUAGCUUGUAAGAAAAGAUACAUUGUUUUAAAAAAAUUGAGAAUUAAGUAAAUUUUUGAAUAAGUAAAAAAAUAUAAGAAUAAGUAAAAUUUUAAAUUUUUGAAGAUAAUCACAUGUCAACUUUAAAAGAAAGGGUGUCAUGUCAAAUUUUUACAAAAAUAUUCAAACUUUUUUAAAAAAUUCACAUGCAUUAUAAAAAAUUGUGUCAAUUUACAUAUAAAUAGUGUCAAAGUCACAUAUUACAUUUUAAUUUGUUAUAAAUUGAUUGAAUAUUCACAUGUAAAUAGUGUAAUUUAUAUUUUGUUAUUGAUUGCUUGAAUUCACAUGUGUCAAAUAGUGUCAACAUUUUUACUUUGUUAUAAAUUGAUGAAUUGCUCAUUCAUAUUGCACUACUUAUAAUAAAGUAAAAAUAUAAACACUAUUUGAACGUGAAUUGUAUUCAAUUAAUUUAUAAUAAAACAAAGCAAUACUAUUUGAAUGUGAAUUCAAUCAAUUAAGUACAAAAUAAAAAUUACACUAUUUGCAUGUGAAAUACAAUUAAUAUGAAAUAUAUAUAUUUAUAUAUAUAUAUAUUUAUAUAUAUAUAUUGUUGAUGAAAAGCGAUUUUUAAAAAUACUAAAAAAAAACUAAAAUCACUACACUAAAUUAUUUAAAUAAAAUUAUUGCCACCAUUUAAUUAACUUUUUUUUUAAAAAAAUAAUAAUUGGAAAAUGCUACUAGAGUAACGAUUUUAUUAAAUUUUAAAAGAAAAAUUUAGAAAAUUGCUGCGACUUCAUUUUUUUAAGUUAAUUUUUUAAUAAAAAUAAAAAUUGUUGGAAGCCACUUUCUUGUUCUUCAAUAGUUUAUAAUCAAACGUAUCAUAAUAUUUGUGUGGUCAUCAAAAUAUAUGACCAAACUAUCAUUUACGUCAAAAUAUUUCUUUUCAGCCUUUCAAACCUUCUGUAAAGGUGAUAUAUAAAAUUUAUUCAAUUAUACAUAAACACAUUUUUAUCCAUACAAACACAAAUAUUUUCUUCAAAAAAUUAAAUAUAACCAUUUGUACAUGAUUCAUAAAUUUUUAUUAGAAACUAAUUGUCAUGCUUUGGCAGUAUCUAAUUUAUGUGACCCACCUCAACAUCAUUUUAAAAGGUCAAAAUAAAUGUACUACCACAUUGUAUUCCUUUAUUUUAAUGAAAAAUUUAUAAAACUUUUCAAAUCGAAUUGCAUCUAAAAUAAUGUGUUCAAUAACCUUUCAUACCACUUUAAUAAUAAAAAAUUACCUUCACAUUUAAAAGACCAUCUCAAGAAUUCGUAAUAUUAUUCUUUUUAAUUAUCACGAUAAUGAUCAUUAACAUUUUACCACAUUAAUAUUCAUACAUUCAACCACUUGUCAUUUUUCAGACAUAUUAUGCCCUACUACCAUAUUCACACGAGAGAAUGAAUUAAAUCAAAUGGGCAGAUUUCAUUAGGUCAAAAAUACAUAUUUUUGCUUUAAUCAUCGUAAUAUCAUCACUAUGAUGCAUUAGAACCAACGUCUUAUCCAUAUAAAGAAGCCUUAACUCAUGACUCAAUGAGACUUAACCCAAGAUAUAUAUUAUUAUCAUAACGCUCUGAAACUUUAACUCAAUGUCUUAUUCACUUGGUGCGGUGAAAUUUGAUUUCACCGUCUAACCCUCAAUCAAUGUCUUAACAAAUCAAAUGUAUUAUCAAAAAAAUAAAUAUCAAAAAUCAUAUAUAUAAUCUGAACUUAACUUAAAAUACAAGAAAAAUGAACAGAAUUGAUUAAUUAGAACAUGUCGAAAUCAUAUAAAAGUCACAAAUUAAAAUAAAUUGAUUUUUUUUAACAAUC